GUUGGGGGUUUUUUUUCCCCCUCAAUGGCAAGUAUUACGAUUGAUAAUAUGGUUAAUGCUGUUUCAAUUUUUACCAUUCUCUAGAUGAUAGCUACCAUAUCACACAAUUUUCGUGGGGCUUUUUUUUCUUUCCCCACCCCCCAUUUGUCCAUUCUGAAGAAAGGUUUAUGAAAGUUUUCCAUGUGGUACUGCCAUCAGCAGGCUAGAAAGCAAGCCAGCUCUCUAAAGAUGCCUCACACACAGACGAGCCAAGACUCCUGCUUUCAGCAUGAAGCCCUAGGAGACACUGCUCAGGAUCCUCUGAUAACAGAAAGCGUUGCCUUCAGAGGAGCUGCUCUGCAAGAACACCAUACCCACGCUCCACAGAGAGGCUAGAAGAGGAACUGGCAGCAAGCUGAGCUGUGGCAAAACGAGACAUAGAAGUUCUACCACAUUAGAGAAGACGGUUCUUCCUCAAACUGUCGAGUCUUAAAGUUGCAGAGGUAUUAAUUUUUCAAACAACCACAAACUGACGUGACCUACACACUGACUGCUUUUCCAGAAAUACAUCGACUUCUGACAUAAAAUUCGCAAGAAUUACGUAUCACUUAGGUAGGGUUGUGAAUUCUACCUUUUAAUUUCAUCACCCAUCCUACACUUCUAGUUGUGCAUUUCACCUUCACCUUGAUAAAGGCAUCCACCCUCGCAUCUGUGUUGAACAAUAAAUGAAUUGUUUGUGCAGGAGAAAUUCACAGCAAAAGAACAAAAGCCUCCUAACAAGGACAGUGAAGUGGAAAUGAACACUUAGUAAAAAUAACCGGCUAACAGUUAAUAGGUCUAAACAUUACACCAAGCACUUAGAAGAAAUUAAUAUACGUCAUAUAAUGGAAGGAUUUUGCUUACCUUAGCAGGACUUUCUCCUUUCACUUCAACAUUUUCUAAUAGUUUAACUACACCCAUUCCUUUGAUGACUUGGCCAAACACCACAUGCUUCCCGUCCAGGUGAGAAGUAGGCACCGUUGUAAUGAAGAACUGAGAGCCAUUAGUACCAGGUCCUGCAUUUGCCAUGCUCAGCAGCCCUGGUUUAUCAUGCUGCAUUAGGGGAAAAAAAAAUCACAACAUAUGACAGAACAGUUAUUAAAUCAUAAAUAAGAUUCUGUAAGGCUAUUAAUAUAUAUAUAGUAAGGACAGCCGUAAUGACAACUUGGUAAACCAGACAGACUAAUUCCACCUAUCCUAACUGAAGAGGGCAAAUUGCCCAGCUCUGCAACUUUACUUGCCACCCAGCAGGCUCGCAAGCAGAGCCGUGCGUGUGACUUCUGUUUGCUUCUUGCACACUCAACCCUCUGCACAGCUGCUGAGUUUAGAGAUCACCUGAGAGACACAUGAAGUUCCUCACCAGGUUAUUCAAGGCCACUAUCCUCAAGAAACAAAGCAAAACACCUCUUAAAGCAACUUUAAUGUUACACUGACAAGAGAGGUAUGUAGUACAUGUACUGUUAAUUUUGUAAAGGUUACUCUUUCAUAGUAUGUUGUAGAACUGUGGGUUAUAGGGACUGUGGUCUUUAUUAUUUAGAGGUUGGUGGGAUUUUUUAAAUUCCUUUACUUCUUAUUCUGUUGGGAUUUUUAACCAUCUAAUUACUUUGGCUUAUGCUACCGGGCCACAAACUAACAAAAAAUUUCAUUAAACAGCCCAACAUGAGAAAAUAUUGUUUAUCUUAUUUCCCAUAAGUACUUUUUCCUUCUUUGAAAUAAGAAUUAUUUUGCUUCACCAUGCAGAUUAUUUCAUUUUCACUCGUACUGCGAGAAUGUAUUUUUCAUACGUGUUGUGAAUGUCUCGUCGUUAAACUGGCAUGACACAGUCAUUAAGAUAUUAUUCUCCCCAAGUUGAUCUGGUUAUUAAGUGCAAGAAACUUUUGUUUAACCUAAGUCAGUAUGUUACACCAAGAGCCUGGUACAUGACUGAAGCAUGCAAGCUGUGGUAUUCCUAAGAAACUUGAUACUGUGGGGAGGAAAGGAGGACAAAAAAAAAGUGACAGGGGAUGGAAGCAGAAAUUGCUGUGAAGUAGACCUCAGAGCUCAACGGGAGGUUGAUUAGUUUGAGACAGUGGUCUGAGAGGGCUGUACUUAAGCACCUGGUUUGUCCCUACCACUUUGAAGACCUGUAUUUUUUGAAAACUGCUUUCCCACACAGUGUUCUUAUGUCCACGGUGGUAGGGAGAACUCCUUGCCCAAGGUGUUCAUCCGGUCAAAUGGCACAAUGAGUCUGAAUCUUUCAAGCAGGAUUUGGCUUGGGAACUCUGGGAAAAGGUUGUACAGCUGAGAGCUAGAACUGAACUCAGCCAACAGAAAGUGACUGGAAUAAUCUUGGCUCUGUCUCUUGUCUUGAAACUCAUCCUGGGAAUCAGAGGUGGCAAAUGGCACAGAGGAAGCUUGUGUUCCACAGCAAGAGAAGGCAUCUGGUAGCAAGCCUGCAAGAAUGCAGCCUCCAAAACAAACAUCUGCAUCGUAUUGCUGGCAAACAAGUAAAUCGGAUUCCCCAUAGGAGAUUACUGCAAAUAUGAUUUGAGGCGGGUCACUGAUUCACUGUCCAAGAGGCAGAACAAGACCUGUAAAUCUUACUUUUUUUUUUUUUCUCUCAAUUACAACUAAUGCUA